rnacentral:rRNA from 1 species
AGAGUUUGAUCCUGGCUCAGGACGAACGCUGGCGGCGUGCCUAAUACAUGCAAGUCGAGCGAACCAAUUGAAAGCCUAGCUUUCAUGAGGUUAGCGGCGGACGGGUGAGUAACACGUGGGUAACCUGCCCUAUAGACUGGGAUAACUCGCGGAAACGCGUGCUAAUACCGGAUAACACAUCAGAGUGCAUACUUUGAUGUUGAAAGAUGGUUCUGCUAUCACUAUAGGAUGGGCCCGCGGCGCAUUAGCUUGUUGGUGGGGUAACGGCCUACCAAGGCGACGAUGCGUAGCCGACCUGAGAGGGUGAUCGGCCACACUGGGACUGAGAUACGGCCCAGACUCCUACGGGAGGCAGCAGCUAAGAAUAUUCCGCAAUGGACGAAAGUCUGACGGAGCGACGCCGCGUGGAUGAAGAAGGCCGAAAGGUUGUAAAAUCCUUUUGUUGGGGAAGAAUAAGCGUGGGAGGGAAUGCCCGCGUGAUGACAUGAACCGACGAAUAAGUCCCGGCUAACUACGUGCCAGCAGCCGCGGUAAU